AUGAACGCUGGCGGCGUGCCUAAUACAUGCAAGUCGAGCGAACAGACGAGGAGCUUGCUCCUCUGACGUUAGCGGCGGACGGGUGAGUAACACGUGGAUAACCUACCUAUAAGACUGGGAUAACUUCGGGAAACCGGAGCUAAUACCGGAUAAUAUAUUGAACCGCAUGGUUCAAUAGUGAAAGACGGUUUUGCUGUCACUUAUAGAUGGAUCCGCGCCGCAUUAGCUAGUUGGUAAGGUAACGGCUUACCAAGGCGACGAUGCGUAGCCGACCUGAGAGGGUGAUCGGCCACACUGGAACUGAGACACGGUCCAGACUCCUACGGGAGGCAGCAGUAGGGAAUCUUCCGCAAUGGGCGAAAGCCUGACGGAGCAACGCCGCGUGAGAGAUGAAGGUCUUCGGAUCGUAAAACUCUGUUAUUAGGGAAGAACAAAUGUGUAAGUAACUAUGCACGUCUUGACGGUACCUAAUCAGAAAGCCACGGCUAACUACGUG
rnacentral:rRNA from 1 species